GAUUAACGUUGGCAGUGUGCCUAAUACAUGCAAGUCGAACGCGAGAGGAGGGGGCUUGCUCCCUCUGAUCGAGUGGCGGACGGGUGAGUAACACGUAGGCAACCUGCCCAUCAGUCCGGGAUAACCGCGGGAAACCGUGGCUAAUACCGGAUGAUCCUCUCCACCGCGGGGUGGGGAGUUGAAAGACGGUUUCGGCUGUCGCUGAUGGAUGGGCCUGCGGCGCAUUAGCUGGUUGGCGGGGUAACGGCCCACCAAGGCAACGAUGCGUAGCCGAGCUGAGAGGGUGAUCGGCCACACUGGGACUGAGACACGGCCCAGACUCCUACGGGAGGCAGCAGUAGGGAAUCUUCCGCAAUGGACGCAAGUCUGACGGAGCAACGCCGCGUGAGUGAAGAAGGGUUUCGGCUCGUGAAACUCUGUUGUUAAGGAAGAACGACAGGUAGAGUAACUGCUACCCGUGUGACGGUACUUAACCAGAAAGCCACGGCUAACUACGUGCCAGCAGCCGCCGUAA
rnacentral:rRNA from 1 species